UAAUACGAAGGGACCUAGCGUAGUUCGGAAUUACUGGGCUUAAAGAGCACGUAGGUGGUUAAGAAAGUUGGUGGUGAAAUCCCAAGGCUUAACUUUGGAACUGCCGCCAAAACUUUUUAACUAGAGUAUGAUUGAGGUAAGCGGAAUUUCUAGUGUAGAGGUGAAAUUCGUAGAUAUUAGAAAGAACACCAAUUGCGAAGGCAGCUUUCUGGAUCAUUACUGACACUGAGGUGCGAAAGCAUGGGUAGCGAAGAGGAUUAGAUACCCUCGUAGUCCAUGCCGUAAACGAUGUGUGCUAGACGUUGGGAAUUUAUUUUUCAGUGUCGCAGCAAAAGCGUUAAGCACACCGCCUGGGGAGUACGACCGCAAGGUUA
rnacentral:rRNA from 1 species